rnacentral:other from 1 species
CCAACCCUGGGGUGUUCGACAGUUGUUCAAGUCCCUCGAGCCGAUAAUCUUUCUACCGGACGUAGGCUAGGGGCGUUGUGAGCAUGUCCGUAUACGGAAAGCCUAAUUCGCCCCUACUUACCUCCACUCUGAACCUUCGGGUUCAGGGCCAAGAACACCACCGGCACCCUGGGGCCUCU